UACGGAGGGUGCUAGCGUUGUUCGGAAUCACUGGGCGUAAAGGGCGUGUAGGCGGUCUGUUAAGUCUGAUGUGAAAUCCCCUCGCUUAACGAGGGAACUGCGUCGGAUACUGGCAGACUUGAGUACCGGAGAGGAAGGUGGAAUUCCCAGUGUAGCGGUGAAAUGCGUAGAUAUCGGGAGGAACACCGGUGGCGAAAGGCGGCCCUUCUGGACGGGAUACUGACGUGAGACGCGAAAGCGUGGGGAGCAAACAGG
rnacentral:rRNA from 1 species